GCGAGGAUGGCGGAAUUGGCAGACGCGCAUGUUUGAGGGGCAUGUGGUCGCAAGACUGUGAGGGUUCAACUCCCUCUCCUCGCA
rnacentral:tRNA from 1 species